GUGCUAACUUCCACAGCCCAUAUACUAAAACUGAAUGAUAUAGAGAAGAUUUGCAUGGCCCCUAUUCAAGGAUGGCUUGCAAAUUUGUGAAGUGUUCCAUACUUUU